GCAUGUGGGCGGGUGCUGAAGGCCAGCUGUGGGAGCCAGAGACCUCCCCUGGGAAAUGGUCCCUUGCUCCCGUUUAGUGUGCAGAGCUGGCACCCGCUCCAACCUGGUCCUUGUGGGUCUCGGCUGAUAGCACCCCGGCUGUCGUCUGAGUCUGUGAGGUGGAGCCAGAGUCAGGAAGGGGAUGUCCUGAAUGGGACACACCCCCUUACUGGAGACUCUUCUCCUGGUGAGGAGCAAUCCCUAACUCCACAUUCCAGGUGCACAGCUGGGGGCAGGAGGGGCUUCCCGAAAGCCAGGCACUUAGGGGGCAAAGACCCCGGGGGGUAAGUUUCUGCCUCCCACGCCAGCCCUCAGUGUGAACCAAGGGAUGCCAGGGCCAGGAGGCCAGGUGCAGGCCUCAGGGGUCCUCAGGGGGUCCACGGGAAGGGGCAGUUACUGUUCAAAGGCCUGUAGGACACAGUUGGAAAUUAUUUUUUACCCAACGUUAAGUGGCUGUGCAUAGUACAAAUUAGAUACUUUCUGUGAACAUGUUGCCAAUCUGAAAAAUAAUGCAUUCCAAAACCCAGAACUGGAACAUGGAAAUAGAGCAGAAGGUUUGAGGAUAAUCUAGAGGGAGGGGGAAGAACAUGACCUCAGGAGCCAGAGAGGGGCCAGUGUUUGUCAUUGGUCCCUUAAUGUGAGUCUGAGCUUCCUGGUAGCCACAGCAAGAAAUGAAAGCACAGUGGGAUUUUUAGUUUUGCCAAUAAAAGGACGUGUCAAGAUCCCCCACAGGACUGGUUUUCGUGGCCCUGAACAGAUUUAUCAGAUGUUUCUUUGUAAAAGAGGAAGUGAGGGGCUGAGAUUAUGGCUCAGUGGCAGAGCGCUUGCCUCACACGUGUGAGGCACUGGGUUUGAUCCUCAGCACCACAUUAAAAAAAAUAAAUAAAGGUAUUAUGUCCAUCUUCAACUAAAAAAAUAUUCAAAAAAAUUAAAAAAGAGGAAGCGAGGGCUGGGCCGUGACUCAGCAGGAGCGCACUUGCCUGGCACGUGUGAGGCACUGGGCUGAUUCUCAGCUCUGCGUAUAAAUAAAUAAAGGUCCCUCAACAACUAAAAAAAUAUUGAAAAAUAAAAAAUAAAUAAAAGAGGAAGCGAGUCCUUGCCUCUAAGGCCCUUUUCUUCUGUGGGUUCUCAAAGGAAGCUGAGGCCUGUUUAUAAAGCAGUUCCUCGAGGGGCGGAGCUAGCAGAGCAAAGGCCUCAGCCGUCCAGCACUGGGUCCUGCGUGGUCGAAGCCCCGGCCGUAGGCUCCAGGGGACGGGACCCCGCCUGCUUUGCUGGCCAGGACGUCCUCAGGCCAGUUCCAUGAUAGAAAGUACCAGGUGCCAGGUCCACCCCUGUUGGGUGAAGGCACAGGGAGGAGGCCCCUGGUCAUCUUCGUCCUCCUUCAGGAAGGACCGUGGGGGGAGGGGAGGGGCCACGGCCCCACUGAGAUACUGACCACUAGGGUGGGGGCUGAGGUGAGCCAGGACCUGGGUGGGGUCCCCAGGCAGGUGAGAGGGGCGUCCCAGGUGUCCCAGGCUGGCCAGGCCAGGAAGACGGGGCUCCUGCUGGACAGGAGCCUGCCUGCAGUCACAGGAGGGUGGUGGCCAGGCAGGUAGGGUGCCAGCUGUUGACCGAGCUGACACGCCGGCUGCAGGCGCCGGGGCUGAGGGCCCUGAGACCCUCUGUAAUACUGGCCAGGCAGCCCAGGGACUCGGGCUUUCUGGGCCAGGCCCCACCGUCCCCUCCACCCUGGUGCUGCAGCUCACUCAUGCCCCCCCACCCCGGGGUUGUCCCUCUCCUGCAGACCCCACGAGCCACACGCCUGGGUCCUCGAGUUAGGCCUCCGUGAGCCAUCCUCCUUCCCGCCCUUCCCGCCCUGACCCAGGUGUUCCCUGGUGGCCAGAGGGUAGGCAUGGGUCUUGGUUUUCUUGGAUGUUUCCCGGAGGCUGUGGCUGGUAGAGAGAAGAUCCGUGGUGGACAGAGUGGCCCAGAGCACAGCCUGGGCCCCGCGCUGUGGGUUCCCUACCACGCGCAGGGGGAGGGAGCAGGCAGUGGGCCCGGGGUCUGCCUGCUUCUGAUGGUGCCGUGCAGUGGGCAGCAUCUGUCCCUGGGUCCCUGUUUCUCGGUGCAUGGCCUCCCUCAAGGCCUGGCACCCACCUGGCUCACCACAGGCCCAGGCUCUGGGCUCUGACCCUUCCCUACCCUGUUUCUGUCCAGGCCGUGUCCUCAGGGCCCCUUGGCCAGUGGCCACUGGGCUGUGUUUGUCCUACUGUCCAUCAGCCCUAAUGUAGGCAAACAGACCAAGGGCAGGUGGGGGGGGGAGAUAAGGCCGGCGGAUGGGGCCAAAGGUGAACGCUUCACCUCAUUCACCUCGGGCUUAUUUACUGUCCCCAGCUUUCAUCUGCUGUCCCCGUGGCCACACAGACCAACCACGAGGGUGCUCUGAGGCUCUGGGACUCCAGGGACCUCAUGGCCUCAGCUGGGUUGCUGUGAACUGCGAACACGAAAAGACAAAACGGUGCUACCAAGAGGGACUUCAUUUUUUAAAAAAUAUACUGGGGACUGAACCCAAGGGUGCUGUGUCACUGCACUACACCCCCAGCCCUUUCUAGUUUUAAUUUAUAUUGAGACAAAUUCUCACAGAGUUGCCCAGGCUGGCCUCAGAUUUGCAAUCCUCCUGCCUCAGCCUCCAGAGUUGCUAGGAUUACAGAUGUGGCCACUGUGACCAGGGACCAACGCAGACCUUUCUCUCUGCCAUGCACCCUGAAGGCCAGGCACAGCUCUGGCCCUGAUGCCUGCCUGACACUUGCACUGGUCUUGUGACCAGUCAGAAUUGUCAACAUCUCCACUUUACAGCAGGGAAUCGAGGCUCAGAGCAGCGAGGUUUUGGAAUCCAGCUCUUUGGCUGUGUUGCCUUUGAAUCUAGGAGGAAUCAGCCGGCAGAGCUCUGGCAGGGUGGGUGACACUGGGGACAGUCCUCUGGGUGCUUCUCACACUGGCCGUGCGUAUCAAGGGAGGGGUGGCCCGGGCCUCAGCAUGGCCACACUGUGCUGUGCCUGCCAGGACAGGGGUGCAGAUGCUCUCUCCUGUCGUGGGGCUCCUGCCUCCUCCCUGCCCCCGAGCUUCCAUCCAAUACAGGAAAUAAAAUUCAAGACCCCAGAGGUGGAGGCCCUGCCUCCGGCGACUGGGCUGGGCCCUCCAUCUCAUUUCCCUUCAGCUCUUUGCACACACUGGUUUUAUGUCACCCUGAUCCCUACCCAGAGAAGCAGAUGCUGUGCCAGGCUGGGGCAUCUGCCCACCUGAGGGCCCACAGUGGCCCUUGGGGGCCGGGAGGUGCUACAGGGCUGUCUUCCCUUCCUGGAACUGCCUGGGUCAACUGCCGAGCUGGGGGCAGACUCAGGUCGUGGGCUGUGGAUCCUUCCCUGGAGUGAGCCCUAGUCAGCAUGGUGGACGCGGACACCUGGAAGGAGCUCUGAAGCACUGGGGGGCAAGGCAGAGUCUGUCCUGUGCUGUCCUGCGACUAUUCCUCAGGGCUGGGGACACCCCAGCCUGUUGUUAUGAAGGCGCUGGAGGCCUGUUGCCAUCAACCCUGGGCAAGCCCGCCCCUGUGCAGGUCAGACUGGGUACCAGCUCUCUACGCUCCGCAUCCCAGGGGCCUCAGUGGGGCUCACCCUGGGCCACGGACACCACGCUGCACCCAGCCUCUGCCCGUGACCCCACUCCUACAGAAGGCCCACCACCUGGGCACUCGGAGGCCAGCAAGUGCCCCAACCUGGCUGGCCCAGGAUGACCCUCAGGGAGCUCCCUGCUCCUGGAGCAUGUCUGUGGCCAACUUUUGUGGGGUCAGGGCUGACCAGGUGUGGAGGCCCCAGUGCGCAUGCACGUGUGCGCACACGCGCGUGCGUGUGUGUGGUGGAUGGGGCAGCCCUGCCCCGGGUCCACGCUUGGCUUUCUGCAUUUCUUUGGCUGCAGAUGAGGCCAGCUGGUGGUGCCAGGGAGUUAAUGUCAUGGUGACCCUCAAACAGGGUGUUGGUGGGCAGGGGCCCCUUCGGGACAGCUCCAGGUGUUUCCCCACGGAGGCCUGGUGGACACGGCCCUCACCCAGAGCAGGUGUCCGCUCCGGGAAGCGCCUGCUCUUCUCCCUCCAGGCUCCCCACCCACCCCGUACGUCUGGGCAUCACCACUGCACCCCAGUCCUGUGCCAGACCCACUUUAGGAAGACUGGCCAGGAAGGUUGGUGUGGCUGUCCCCAGAGCCACAGCAGGGCCUGGCAGAGUCUGCGUGUCCUGCGAUGUUGAGGGCUGAGCUGCCACUCACAGGGUCCUUCUCACUGGAAAGCAGGGCUGGCUCCUCGGGGCAGUUUCCCAAACCAGGUGGGAGGGUGAGCACUCGGGGGCAAGAUUUCUCCUUCCCUGAGCUGGAUGAAGGAAGGACUCCCCAUCUGCAUACAGGUGCGUGUGCACCCACACCCUCUGCCCUGCCGCACAGUCUGACGGGAAGCACAGAGGACGGGUUUGCAACCCUCAGGCUUCAGGGCCUGGGGUUUGUUGAAGGGGUUCCUGGGGUUCCUUCCUGUGGGUACUUAGAGAAACAUCCAUAGUUGGUGGCAUCUUUGGGGAGUCAAAGAGGACAGCCUUUGGGAAGUGGAGGGCCCAGCCUCAGCCAUCAGGGUGGAGGAGAGCCUGCACCCAGGAGGGGUUGCCCUAGUGUGGUCGGCAUGGGGUGCUCUUCCCAGGUGUGAGCGUCACGAUCCGCCUCACAGGACUGGCCACUGCUCUGCGGCCUCAGGCAGGGCUGCACUCACUCAGGAACGUCCCAGCUUCCAGCAGACAGGCCUUCCAAAAGGCCAGCCUCACGUCAGCCGUCUGCCUGGGCAGAGGUGCCCACUGGGCUUGGUCUGAGUGGAGAGGGAGAUGACAGGAGGGGAGUAGAGGCCCAGCCCACUCUGAGGGCAGCCCCCAGGAUGCCAUGGCUGUGUGGGGCACAGCCUUGCCCUCUCCCCUCUUGGGAGAGGCUGGCCUUUCCGGUCUCCUGACUGUGCUGGCCCCCAGUGACCCCUGGAGGUCUGGAUGAGGUUGCCCUGACUCUGGGUUUGCUCUCCGCCCUCUUCCAUCCCUCGUCCACUCUCUGGCCCACCGACUCCUUCGCUUGCUCAGUCUCUGCCUUUGGGUCGUGCAGUCUGUCCCCACACGGGCCUUGAGUGCACAGUCCCAGGCAGGGCACAGAGGGACCCAGCCGCUGGGACGGACUCCCCAAGGUGCUUGUCCCAGCCCCUUGGAAGUGGGCAGCUCUGUCCACAGGUGCAUCAGUGGCCCCUCGUCCUCGGCAUCUGCGCAGCUGCUAUCCCUGGUGUCUCACCAGAUGCCACUGCUUCCAGACAGCCCUCCCUGACCCCCCAGUCUGGACCAGGCCUGACCAAGUCCCUGCCACAUAGCAUCAAAGCUGCCCACGGACGGACCUGCCCCUCCUGGCUCACCACCAGACCAAGUCCUCAGGCACCAGAACCUGCUCACCUCCGUCUCCCCUGAGCCCAGCACCUGGGGGCCUCAGAUGCUCAGGGAUCACAUGAGUAGGGGUCCCGUGGCUUCAGCGUGAACCACCGGGGCUCAGGAUGCCGGGUGCUGGGAGGUGCUGGGCGUCCUGAGGCCUGUGGGCUGAGGAGGAGCCGGGAUGUUCAGAGGCACCCAGCGUCUCCCAGGCCCACUGAGGAGGGUGGGGGCGACUGGGUGUGUCCCUGGUUCUCACUGUGUCUGAGGGCGCUGCGCUGGUGCUCGGCAUGCAGGCCAGGGACGUGCACCCUGGGUCCAGACGGCAUCUCCAGGACAGGGGCAUCCCCAAAGCCAGGCCUCCUCUGCUGUUCUCCUGGGUGUCCUGUGCCCCGGGAAGGGCUGCCGAGCGAGGUGUCUCUCUGGAACAGUCUGGAGCCCAUGUCCUUGUCCUGCUGGGCUCUGUCUCCCUGCGUCCCUGUGCAAGAGUCCUCCAGGGCCUUGGUGUCCCCCUCUGUGAGGGAGGGUCCCUGAAGCUGCCUCUGCUUCCUUCAAGGACAGUUUUCCAGCGUGGAGCCUCCAACCCAGGCUGGGACCCUGUGCCCUGGGCUCAGAUCCGCCUUGGCUGCAUUCCCUUUGGGUGGCUCUGGGUGGGUGGCCGAGCCACCACCUUGCUGUGAGAGCAUCCCUGGGGGUUCCCAGGAUUCAGAAGGAGCCUGAGAAGCAUUAUCCACAGCCCAAGGGAAGGCUGGCCCCGGUGGGAGUGAGCACUCCGCUCCAGUGGUGACCCAGCAGAGCUGGGACGGUCUCCUCCGGCUGGUGGUGUCACAUUCAAGGAGGCCACAAAGGGCCCCAGCACCUGCAGUCUAUGAGCAGGCCCUCCCUGGCCACCCACUGCAGCCUGCCCCUGCCUCAGACUCGACCCUCUCGCGAUCCUGACCCCGGGUGGCUUGAGAGGCACAGCAACUUGGGUUUGAUGUUUUGAAGAAGUGGCUUUUUGUCAGAAGGCCCUCUGGGAUCCUCGGUCGGCCAAUGAAAUUAUGUCUGUUGAUUCAAGGAGGCUGGAAAACUUGGGCCGAUGGUUAUUGAGAUUUAUGGCUUCCCCUGAGCCCAAUCACAGGAAUCCUUCAACAGUCGGGCUAAGUGGUGCUGAGGACCAUGCCUGUCCUCUCCUGUCCCCUCCUUCGUCCCCUCCUCCCUGUCCCUCUCCCUCUUCCUCUGACUCUGCCGCCGUCUCUUUCUGCCUGCCUCUCUGUGUCCCUCCCUCUCCUCCCUGCCCCUCUCUCCCUCUCCCCGUCUCUGUCUCUCUCCCUGCCUGUCUCUGUCUCUCUGUCCCCACUCCCCUUGCUGAUCUGGCUGUGGGGACGCAGCCCCACAGGCUCCACUGCUCCCCUAGAGAGCUGGGUGGGGGCCAGGGCAGGCUUCCCCUGCUGUGGGCUUGGACCAGGGGGAGGCUGGAGCGGGGAGCCGGGAGCUGGUGUCCAGCAGGCAGGGCUCUGGCUCCCCUGCCGGGCGCCCACUGUCUCUGAGCUCCUCUGAGCCUCCAGGGCUGGGGACUGGAGGACAAGCAUCAGUACUGUGCUGUAUUCAGCAGGUGCUCAAAAUAUGCCCACCCAGUUGUCUUGUUGGCUGAAGAUCUGCUCUGUGGAGGCAGAAGUAGGAAGCGCUCCCUACCCCUACCCGCUGCCCUAGUGAGAGGGAGGGCCAGGCCGGCUUGGAGGCAGGAGAGGCUCCUAUCCAGGCCAGGCUGACCCUGGUGCCGGAAUCCCCCAUGGCCCCCAUACGGCUGCCUGUCCUUGUACCCUUCUCCCUGUUGUUGCCCAGCUGUGUCCCCAACCCAGCCCCCAGAGUGGACAAAGACCCUGUGUCCCCAACCCAGCCCCCGGAGUGGACAGAGACCCUGUUGGUCAUGCCCCCAGCUUGGGGGAGGACAUGUGAUUGGGGUCACUGCCGACCCAGGGUGGGCAGGGCAGCCCCCUCCCCUGGCCAGCUGCGUUAGUUCUGUGCCUCUUGGAUUCAGGUGGAGGUGCAGGCGGACUGGGGUGGGCUGGGGCUGGGGGCCACCCAGACCCCAGGGGGUAGAGAUGUAAUGACCCAGCGCUGGACUGCCCGUGGCCCAGACCUGGCCUGGGGUUCCUGCACAGGGAGUCUAGCUAGGGCAGGGCUGGGACAGCUCAGAAGACAUGCUGACCCCUUCCUUUCUCCCCAGGUGUGGACAAUCUGGACACAGGCGAGGAGAUGGGCAGGUCAUCCUCCAGACCAGGCAGCCCCUUCACUGGUACCGGCCCACGGCCUGGCAUGUGUGCCAGUUGUCCUGGGCAGGGGUGGCAGCUUGGCCUGUGGCCUGCCUGUCCCCGGCGGUGCUCCCGAUGGCUCUGCUGGGGGCAGUUGUGUCCUGGACCUGGACAGGGUCUGGUGGCAGGCCAGGGGGUGCCAGGUGCGUGGUCUGACACCCCCUGCCUCCGGGACUUGUUCUCCUGCUCUUCUGGGCAUGAAGGGGCCCAUGAGGAAGGAGUGAGGCCUCCCCAGGACCCCCACGGAGCCCCGCCCACCCUGGCAUCAAGGUGUGGGGCCUGGCAGCAGGGGGGUGUGGGCCUGAGAGGGGCAGGGAGGUCCAGGGAUGGGUGGUCUCCGUUUCCUGAAGCAGGAGUCAGGGCCCAGUCCUGGCCUAGCCUUGGGUGUUCGCGUCCUGGCUGGGGAGCCGGGCAGGACCCGAUGCUGCCCGCCCCUGAGGCUGUGGGCAGGCUCUGGGCAGAAGGGGCCAAAUGCCCUGGCACUGGGAAGCUGAGUCCUUGAGGGCGUGGGACGUCCUCCUGUGACGAUGGUCCCUCCGAUUCCUGCUUGCCUAAAUGCCAGCUGACCUCGGCAUUCACGGCCUCGUCAGCCUGGGGGCACAGCCACACAUGGACCUCGGAGAUGCACUGGCUGCGUGGAGAAAGGUUCUGAGGGCUGGUGCAGAAGCCUCGGUGGGAUCAGUGAGGGGCACAGCAGGGGCUGCAGAGGGACAAUGCCCUGGAAGAGGACAUGGAAGGGUGGACGGCCCCCAGGGGUCACUGCCCCACUGCAGAGUGGCACGGCUGUGAGAGACAAGAGCACCAUUUUCAGGGCCUCGUGGUGAAGGCAGCUGGCGGAGAAGCAGGAGGCCGCCAGCCACCCUCCUGGCAGGAAGCACACCGUUCAGCUGGGAGCCAGCGGGAUGCCUCCCGGAAGUCCGCGCCACCUGGGGGCCCGGCUUUGGCCUCCUUCUGUGGGCGAGUGUCCAGGCAGCCAGGGGCUGCUCCUUCUGGUCCAGGACGUGUGUCCAGCCCCGAGCCUAUGGCUGUGCGUCCACACAGCUGCUGUGACUUGGGCCAGCACCUCCGCUCCAUAGAGGAGGACGCCGAGGCCCAGGGCACUCUGUGCAGCCAGGCAUGGAGCUUCCUGGGCGAUCUGGAGACAGGCCACACGGAGGCCCCUGCUCACCCUCCAACACCCUUACCUGCAGAACUUAGCUGAAGGCCAUGGGAUGAGUGGACGGAUGAGGAGUGGACAAGAUGAUGAGUGGACAAAUGGACAGGUGGACUGAUGGGUGGGUGGCUGCCUGGCGGGGUACAUUAGGACAUGUCAUGAAGGCCUCAGAAGGUGUGACUGACACUCUGGAGGGAUACAUGAAGUGGUCUCUGCGGGGACAGGGAGCAGCCAGGCCCUCACUGGCAGGGCCUCUCCUGCCCUGUGGCAGACAGGACUAAUCACCAGGGCCAGCUCUCCAUGGAGCGUGGCCCUUGGGCCUCCCCAGGCAGCCAAGAGCACUGGCUCUCGGGGCACCAGGCCCUUGCUUGCCGCCCAGCGUUAGGCUGUUAUUGGGAGCUCAGUUGGAGCAGAACUGCCUGGGGCAGGAAGGAGAGGCCCUGGGGCCAGGCCUGUUCUGUGGCGGCCUCCUCACCCACCAGCCUGCUUCACAUGCAGGGCAGGCUCUAAAGGCCUGGGGGUUGGUGUUGCACCCCGAGUGCUCCAGGUUACCUGCAGAGGCACAGCUCCGGGGCCUCCUGCCGGGGCUCUGGGCACCUGCUGAGGGCUCCAGUCCCUGCGUUUGUGCUGCUGGGUCCAGGGGCCUGGACACCUAGUUUCUGUAGGCAGGCGCAAGGCUCUGCAGCACAGCUGGGUGGUAUGGCCGGUAGCGGUUGGGUGCUGUUCUUUGCACAGGAGGGGCCCACUCCUGGAGGGGGGAGCUGGCCACAGUCGUGCAGCCCAGAAGCCCCCCCGCCCCUGUGUCCCUGGCCUUCCAGCCUGGGUGGUGUGUCCCACCACAGGAGCCGUAGCCUCAGCUCCACCAGCCUCACCUGCCUGCGUGACCCUCUGUGUCCCUGGGAAGGGAACCUCACAGCAGCUCCUGGGGGGGUCGCCAGAUGCUCACUGGUCUGGCUUCACCAGCCCUUGAGCCGAACCCAGGGAGAAGAGUCUUAAACUCUGAAGUCCACCAACUGAGAACCACUGGAGAUUCCACCCCACCAAGUUUUAAUUUUGUUCCUUUUAUUUAUUGUAGAGAAUUUUUAUGUUUAUUGAGAAAUUGCAUCAUAAUCCCUUGAGUCAAAAUGUGGGUUGUUUUUCAUUAUUUCCUCAAUGGUGUGACUUGGACACAGUGUCCAUUUCCUGUCCCUAAUGUGCGUCCAUCACUUUUCCCAGCAGCGAAGCUUGUGCAGACCUCGAUCAGACAGGUGCAGCCUUUGGGGAGGUCGAGAGCCCAGCUCUGGGGUCCUUCCACUGCAGUCGAACCCCAGCUCUGGCGCUCAGAGCCGUGUGGCUUUGGGCACCCACUCUGGCCUUGUUUCCUUCUCCCAGUCCCCGGGUGUUGGGAGAAUCAGGUAGGAGGAAGGGCAAGCAGGUGACUUCCUUGGCCCUGCAGCUUGGAGGGAAGGCUGCAUUGCUGAAGAUGGGGUCUCAGAGGUGACCAGUCCACACCCGAGCUGUGCAGGCCCAGGAGAGGUAUGGGAGCUGCUGUCUAGGGGUCCUGCUGCCACUGACAGCCCCUGUGCCCUGCACCCUGUGGCCGGCAGGCCUGCCCAGGAUGAGCUCCGAGCUGCCUGGGUCCUCAGCCUGCCCAGCCACCCAGAGCUCGGGCUCCCACCCCGUGACAGUCGACAGACCCGUAUCUAGAAAACGUGGAAGCCACAGAAUGGGCGAGAGGUGUAAACAAAGUGACCUCCUCCCCAGGAGCCCUGCCCCCCUCAGGGUGGCCCCUCGGCCUCUCUAACACAGGCCCCAGGGAGGCAGGGAGACGGCCUCUGCCUCCUGGCUCGGGGCUCCCCCUCCUCAAGUGGCCCAGCGUUAGGAGGCUCACCUCAAAGACGGGGAGCUGAGGCCCCAGGAAGGUGGCACAGUGGCCCCGUGUGAGCCCAGGCUCUGCCCUCCGCCUCAGCCGUGCUGCGACAGAGCAGAUCCAUCUCUCCCGGGACCCUGGCGCCAGGUCCCGUGUUCCCCUCCCUGUGCACACUGGCCAACGGGCAGGGUCUCUGCUGGAGGCUCCACACGGCCCCCCCCUACGGGGCAGCAGGCUCCCAGCACAGCACGCAUCAGGGCCCGCCCUGCUCACCCCACUGCCCCUGGGCCUGCCUCCCCAGCUCGAUUAGCCGAUUAGCUGGCUGGCCGGAGGACAAGCUGUCUUCCAGUCAUGCACCUGGGAUCGAGGCCCUGGCUGCUGGAGCAGGGGCCAGCUCAGCGGGAGCUGGGGGACUCACCCCAGGGGAUUAAUGACACGGAGCCCUUCCUCACCCUGCCGGGAGGAAGCCACCAGCCGCCCCUCCCCUCUACUGGGUGGGGAGCCACAAAGGGGUCCCUCCUGCAGGACAGUGGGACUCCUAUGUCCUGGCCAAGGUGGCCCGAUGGAAAGGUUGCCUGCCUGCCCAGGGCUGCCCAAGCAAUCCUAGGAAAGGCAAACCAGCUGCCAGACCCCAGGAAAUUCUAGGGCUCCUUUCUCCAGCCAGGGCCAUUUUUGUCACAGGACAUGUUAACUGCUGGAAUUUGCUGACACCUGGCUUGGGUCCCUGGUGGACAGUAAGACCCUCGUGAUUCCAUGGCAACCUGGUCCUUGGGGCUCCCAGCCCUCUCUGGGCUCCCUGGGGCGGGGGCUGCUCUGGGGGUCCUUUGCCCCAUUGGAGCCGGGGUGGGGGGUAGGGCGUGGAGGAGCAUGGUCACCUGGCCUUGGGCUGAAGAUGCAGACGUGGGGCAGCAGCUCCCUGCCAGCUCCCCACCAUGGGGUUCAGGUUGGGCACCUCAUUCAGCCUCCUGCCAAGACUGCCCAGAGGGCCACGUGAGUCUGUCUCUUCAGUUGAUUUUCUGUUGGUGCAUCACAGUCAGGCACAGGGGUGGGAUUCACUAUGCCACCUUUGUAUGUGCAUGCAACGUAAUUUGAUCCUGAAAUACGAUGUUACUUAGGAUGCACCUGCCAGUCAAGUAUUGACAAGCCCCUCCUCCUCUCUGAGGUCUGGAGCCCACAGAGCCCCUGCUGUGCAUAGGACCCGGAGGUGACACAGGUGGACAGGGUAGGUGGGAGACAACCUGGGGCUGUGGGUCUCUGAGGUUUGUGCUCAACCUUGAGCAAGGGCAUGCCCUGCCCUAAACCCACCAUGUGGUGCCACAGCACGGGGUCUGGGCAGCUUCAGGGGGGCAGGCUGGAGCUGGGCUUGGCAGGCCGGGGGUCCCGAGGACCUGCAGGGAAGCCAGAGGGGUGCAAAGUCAGGGAGCCCAUAUUGGCCUCUGUGGCAAUCAGGAAGAAGAGCUUCUGGGACCCCAAACCUGUGCAGCUGUGGGGGGCUGGCCGGGGCGCCCUGGCCUCAGCCCCACAGCGGUGGCUGUCUCCAUCCAAGCACUUCUCCCACCGUGGGUGCCGUGGGUGCUGUCCCCCGCCUCUGCUCAGCAUCUGUGGGCUCAGACGGCAGCCCUCGCCCUGAGCCUCCGCCACAUCCAAAGUGGAAACAGAUGGGCUUGUUCAUGCCCCGGGAGGGCAGGCUGCUGCUGCCGCGGCACGUCCAGAUCCCCGCUUCUGGGGGGACGUACCAGUGACAAUAGUAUCAGGAAGGGGAGAUUUCCAUUCCAAACAAGUCGAAGCAGUUGGCACCCAGCGCGCCCUCGAGAAAACCAGCAGCUGGCGGGGAGCAGGUGCCAAUUUCCCAGCAGGCCACUGUGGCCUGGCUGGGGGCUGGCAGGGACCCGCCGUCUCUGCCACUCCCGUGGGGACUGAGGCAGUCUCUGGCUUGGGAUCUGGCACGUCAAGUUUGCUCCAUCUCCUGAACUGGCGGCCCCUGAAGACCAGCAAGUCCCUGGGCCACAAGUGGCUGGCAAGCACCUGGGUGGCACCCGGGCUGCUGGCUGCUCCUCCCCGGGCUGCGGAGCGCAGCUUCCCAAUGGCCAGACAGAGGUCUCCGGCAAUGGGCUGGAGGCUGUGGUUUGAAUCCCUGCCCAGGAGCUCCGCUGCCCACUGCCCGCUGCCCACUGCCCUUCUCCCAGCCCAGGCAUGGUGCCAUGGUCACUAGGAACAUGAAGAGUGGGGCAGGCUCCUCUCCUCCCUGACUGCAAACUCCCUGAAGGCUGCCUCUGUCUGGUCAUCGCUGUCCCUCCAGCCCAUGCUAGCGGGGCCUUGAUAGAAAUCAGCUGAGUGGACAAAUGACCCAACAAGGACCCCAAGCUCCCAGCUGAGGCGAAGGAGUUUAUUCCACCUGUCACGUGGAUGGCAAGCUCGGGGCAACCUCGGGAACCCUAGCCCUGUCUGGAAAUGGAGCUUCCGGAUGAUUCUCGGGGGAUAGUUUUCACAGACACCUGAUCCCCUAGGACCCGACCUUUGGAGGUGGAGGCGGGGUGGGGUGCCCUGGGCCAGGAGGGCUGGCCUCCAUCCUCCCAAGGUGACCGUCACCAGGGGAGAGGCAGGUCUGCUCCUUGGGCCUCAGUGUGCCCAGACCCGGGCAUUGACUCUGGGAGGGCGUCCAUGCCCAGCCUGAGGCUGCCCUGGGCCUUGGGUGGCCCUGGAAAUUUGCCACAGGACCUCACGCACACACUGAGGCUCCCUGCCCAGCUUCUGUCCCCAGCACAGGCCUAUGUCCCCUACCCACCUGCACUGCGCCAUCACCUUGGCUACUUUCUGAUGGGGACGAGGGAGACCUGUGGGGCGGGACCUCAUCUGCCUCCUGUGGGGACCUCUUUGUGGACACCAGUAGCGCCUAGACCCGCACCCCUCAAGACAUGAGCUCAUGGAACAGCCCAGGUGGCUGGCUAAGAACAUGCUAGAAAUCCCCAAUUCCCACAAAGAGCCAGCCAGGGACCAGCCUACCUGGUGGGGGUGGGGGGAGGUCAGCCCCUGGCCAGGACAGCGGCCUUCUGAGAAACAAGCCAGGCAGAAAUGGCAAGUGCCCCACCCUUUUCCACUCUGGCCAUGCCACACUGCCUGGUCCUGGUGUCCCCCAGCCAUGACGACCUCCACCUCCUCACAGGAGCCUGCCUCUAUGCCCGCCCUCCCUCCCCACCUGGCCUCUGAAGUGUCUUCCAGAAGUUCACCCAUGGCACUCCUCUAAACCCCUCUGUGGCUCCCCAGUGCCCUCAGAUAAGACCCAGCCCAGAUCCAAACUCCUGCUGAGCCCACCACAACUCUAGCCAUCAGUCAGACAGAAUCACUUCCUGCUCACCCUGGUCCUUACCCUGGUCAGGGUUGGCACAGCUGGUCACUGGGCCUGGGGCUGUGGCUCUGAUCUCUGACUGCCCCUAGCCUAGCAGAUCCUAACUCCCACACCCUGCCUUGGAGUGUGGACUCUGUGAGGGCCAGCCUACCUGUGGACCGUCCCCCAGGAAGGACACAUCCUCCUCAGGAGGGGGAAGCAUGGGAGGAGCAGCCCGGGGGAGGGGCUCCACCAGGUGCAGGUAGUGAAGCAGGUUGGGGUGUGGGCUGCCCACUGCCGCAGGCCUUGGUCUCCAUCUCUGGGGCCAAGUCCUCGGGGUGGGGUGACCAGGAGGGCCUAGCCCAAUGCUGGUGACCCGCCCAGUCAUGGUGAUGUAGUUCCAGUCCACCUGCUGGGCCUUUCCAGGGCCUGAGGCCUGGGAUGGAGACUGAGGUCAGACCAGCGGACGGUGAUCUCCUUCGCCUCUGAGAAGGGGCGGGAGGGAGACGUUUCGGUGCCUGCUCGCCUCCAGCGCCCGGCUUUCUGGGACUCCGAAACAGCUGUGCCGGCCGAGUCCGACCCCAGGGAAAGCCCACCUUGUGUCCAAACUUUCCAGCACACAGCUGGGCCAGGGAGGCCACUAUUCCUGCACCCUGAGUUGUGCCAGGGCCUGGUGAGGAGAAGGGACCCGCGUCGUCCUCGUGUGCGAGUGGGGGGUCAGUAAGGCUUGGCAUGGCUUCAUCGGCCUCGCGUCACUCGGCCUGCCCCCACUGCAUGUGGCUUCUCCCCGGGUCUGUCUUCACCUGCUGUCCUCAGAGGGCACUAGACACACUGGACCAGGAGCCCGUCUGACUCCACCAGGACCCGAGCUCACCAGGUGUAUCGGCACCCACCCUGCUUCCAGCUAGGCCAGUCUGAGGGCCCGGGGUCCGCACAGGGAAGUCCAUUGACCUCCCUGCCACUGGAGUCCACUGAAGCCACAUCAUGCUCUUGAUCUGGGAGCUAAACAACCUCUUCUCUUUAUAAAGUACUGGCCUCGGGUGUUUAGUAAUGGCAACAGAAAACAGGCUAAGAUGAGAGAUUGGCCCUGUCCAGCGUGGGAGGGGAUCACAGAGAGACUUGAACGUCAGGAGUGGGGGUCCCUGGAAGCCCCCUGUGCCUGCCUCCUGCAAGCAGGGACUCUGGUGUUUACCUUGACAACCGGACUCUCCCGGGAGCCCGAGUGCGGCUUCUCCAGCCCUCGAUGCUGCUGUUUUUAGUCCUUCCAAAUAAAUUGAUGAGGCACACCUAGUUCCGGUCACUACUGCGGACAGUAAGAAUAUGGGCAACCUAUUCACCCACAAAGCCCCAAGAAGUCGACAUCAGUAACCAAGUUGCCAAGAGCCAGGACGCAGCAGAAGUGGGACUCGGGGCGCAGGGGACCUGUGGUCGACCCACCACCCUCCGACCCCCCAGACCAGAGAGUCCCCAUAGGGAGACCACAGGUCCCGUGAAGAGGUGGAGAAGGACGCUGUGGGGCACUUCAUUCCAGGGAAGGUCGGGUUGCCACUAGCCUGCCCCCGGACCCUGACGGACCCUCAUCAAGAAUGUUCCGGAGCUGCAGACAACGGGAAGUGUGGCGGAGAAGAGGGCUCAUUUCAUCAGUGACGUGAGGAGGAGGUCCAUCGACACUUACCUCAGCAGAUCAAAUCAGCUGAUACGUCGGGAGGAACAGGCACGGGGGCAGGACCACGUUGACGGCGCAGACGCACACCGUGCCCAACUCCCGCAUGUCCCUCUAGGGGCAGAAGAAAGGCUAGGAGCAGGUCAUAGUGUCAUUGGUGGUGACUCCCUUGGGGAGCGAUUAUUGACAUUUUUCUCUGCCUCUUGUCCGUUGUCGUCUUAUGUUUUCUGGACUUUCUCGAAUGAACCACGUUUUUGGACUGAAGCAGAAAUGACGUAGAAAGGCAUCGCACACAGGACACAUGAGCCGAAGGUACCCCUGUGGCAGGACGUCCUGCGGAUAGGCCCCUGUCGCAGGCACACGCAGCGCUGCGGCUCAGACGUCUUUACUUUGCACAGAUGUCAUGAGAGACUGAGGAAGGCCCCAGAGACACUGGUGGCACCUGGCUCUCACCUGCCUCAAGUUCACCUUAUAAACUUGGGCAAACUCCUCACGAGGCCUGGGUCAGACCUGGCCAGACACCUCUUGGGCUACCGUCCCCUCCAUCUCUGUGUCCACUUUCUCUCCACAAGGGAUGUCUGGGACUGUCAAAGGCAGGGUGUUUGCAUGGGCCCAGAUCCUGAGCUGGGCAGUGUCAGCUGGGGACACAGUGACAACCUCUGCAAGCCCCCAGGAGAUGUGCAUAGUUUAGUGGCUAAUCCUGGGAGGAAAGAGGGACCAGGAGCCGGGGGUAAAGGGAAGACUCAAGCCAGGGCUACAGAGGUCGGCGGGUGUCCCAAGGUCAGUGCAGGUCAGACAGAGCCCCGUGCUUGUGGUCAGGAGGCUCAGCAGCAGUGCAAAGAGCAACAAUUUGGAGAGAACUGGCAAGGAAGGGAAGGUGCGGAUGGGUGGCUGGCCCUGCGUCCACGAGGAGCCCUGCCCAGCAAGCCAGCCUCCUGGGGCCUGGAGUCUCCUGAUCCUGAUGCUUGAGGACACGUCCUGCCUCCCCAGGGUCUGCACUGGUCGUAAAUAUGCUCCUGUGUGGCCAGGGGCCCAGGCGAGGCUGAUGCACGGCCCUGGACCCUGGGCUCUCCCCCUCCUCUCAGCGGGGCCGUGGAGCCUUCCGUUCCUGUGGCUUCCUCCUCUGAAAACGUUCCCCUACUCCACUGGGCCAGCCUGAGACAGACCCUGUGUCCCGCCUUCCCUCCUCCACCCAGCCUGGACUGGGCCCUCGCCCACCCCUCCCAGGCUGUACUCGCUGAACCAUCGCCAGCACGGGGCGGGCAGCCUCUGCGCUGGGCGCUGCUUCCUCCCCGGCUUUGGGAACUAGGCCGGCACCGAGGAGUCUUGUGCUGCAUUUUCCUGAAUGCACACCAGAGAUCAGGGAGCAAGAAAACCGACCCUCCCAACCAAUGUGGCCCUCAACCCCCUUGGGUGGGCCUCGGGGCCAGCCAGGUCCUGGGAGGUGCCUGCCCCUUGCCCCAGGAAUCGCCUCCUCGCUUCCCUGCCCUCCCCCCUGGUGCUUCCUGGCCCUGCAGAGACCAGGUCAUCUUCUCUCUCCUUUCUGUCCACAGAUGACCCCUUACGCCACCUCCCUGCUCCCCCCUUGGCCCCUGGGGCAUUCAGCUGGGCUCACCCACAGCGCCCGCCACCCCGACUGGCAGAGGAGUCUGUUGCCCUCCCACUGCAUUGGCUCUCAGUCCCCAGAUCGUGUCCCUCUGUCAAGCCAAGCCACUCAGCCAGGGUCCAUCCUCCUAGAAAGGCAGCCUGACACCUGGGUUCUCUGCUACUGCUGGCCUGUCUAGUGCGGGCACGACCUGGUCUCCUUGUGCCAUCGCUCCAGCCCUCUGGUCGCACCUGAGUGAGUCAGCAUCCUCUCCUCUUUGGCUUCUGCAUUAGGUGCGACACGCCCCCCCACAGGCCUUGCUGCUUCCAGAAGCUGCGACCUUCCCUCAGGGGCUGGGCGGCCUCCUGGGGACUGGACAGUGACCUCACAGCUGAUAUGGACGAGGGCGUGGUGAACUCGCUUGUUCUGCUGGUGGUACUGACCAGGUGGGCACCUCCUCCUGAAGAGACCCCUGCAAAGACAGUAGGCCGGGCACCGCUCAGAGGUGGUCACGCUGCGUGCAGGAGAGGAGCUGGCCUCCUCCGAGCCCACCCAGAAGGAGUCUGCAGUGCCUGGGAGUUCCCUUCCUCCCUCCUGCUCUACGUUCCACCAUUUUUUAAAAAGCAAAACCGCGUACUGUUUGCUCUGUGCGUACCGAGGCCCACUCGGGCCUUUACUAGGUCCCGUUUUACAAGUGAGAAAACUGAGACUCAGAGCUGUGACUUGUUCCAAGAUGCAGCCUUCCAGGAAGGACUGGCCAACGCUGUAGGGCAGAGGGGAGGGUCAGAGCCUCAGGGUGCUUGCCUGGGCCUUGUGGACAGGACCUCCCGUGAACACUUUCGACGCUGGCCCCUCCCUGUCACCUGGACUGGCUGCCUCACAGGAGAGCUGACGCCUGUCCAGGCGCCUUCCCCGCUAGCCCGGAGUCCAGCCUCGCCAGGAGCCAGGCUGAACGCAGAAGGAAAUCCACUUGGAGCAGCUGGGGCGGGGGGGGGGAGCCUGUGCUAAUUCCUCUUCAGACACCACUGAAGGGUCAGCGCGGGAGUGGCAGGCCGCAGGGAAAUCCUGUUAGCUCUUUGCUCAGCUCUCAGCAAGGGCAUGUGUCAGGGGCUCCAGACACAGCUGCUCGAGGGCUUCCUGGGGACAGCAGGCGUGAGGAUGAGCAGGGGGCAUUCUUGGAGGGCAGGCGGCAGACCCCAUGGGCAUGUGCUGCCCACACCAUACCGGGCAGUCCAAGGGAGGGGCUGCCAGGCCUGGGGGGCCCUGUGUGCCGGGAGGCGCGUGGGCAAGCACCUUCCUUCUGGGCCUGAGUCCCUGUGUGCAAAAUUGGAGGGGCCAGGGGCUGAGGCAGGGGCAUCCAGGCCUGCCUGGGACCCUCCUUUGUUUUGGAAAGUCCUCUGGGAAGGGAGGACCCAGCUGCUGAGCUAGCCUGGAGUUAAGUUGAGGGGGGUGCCUGCAGCAGCCCCCCAGCCAAGCCCUCCUCAGCCAAGCAGCCUGGGGGCUUCCCAGGAGGACCCCAGUGCAGUGGGCGGUGAAGAGAGCCGAUGCCCACCUUGGAGCCUGGUUUUCCUCUUGGUAAAAUGGAGCCAAUAUCACAUCGAUCCCUGGCACGAGGAACAAGGGACCAGCGCUCAGAGGACAGGGGUACCAAGCGUGGGCCCCUCGGGGUCAGAACUUCCUGCAGCUCCUGUUCCACUUCCCUAAUAAUUGGGCUCUUCCAGACGGGGGCCGCCCAGCCUUUAGAGUCUCCUCGCCAGACACCCAGAUCGUCCUGCACGGUGUCCUCCUGGGCCCACUGGGACAGCCUCUCUGUGGCCCCCGCAGGCCGGCCCUUCCAAUCUCCUGCAGACCGGACCCGACCUCCAGGCACUAAUGGAGCUCGGGAGCGCUGGGGGCAUCUUUGCACCACUGGCUCCUUUUCCUCUCUGGUCUCGUGGUUGGGUCCCUGGUCUGGCCUGGGCAGGACCUGGCCCCCAGGGCACCUGGGUGCCAGUACAAGUGGCCUGGGGUGGGGCCGUGCUGUGGCCUACCCCGUGCUGUCUGCUCCCCCUCUGUGGCCAUCCCUGGUGUUCGUGGGGUCCUAGGGUCUGGGGCACCAUCCCGGGCGACCUCGCCGUUCAGCCGUGUUGGCACGCGAUCACCGUGAACACAAGCCAAGCGGCGUCUGUGUCAGCUUUUAAAACCACCAGAAUGAGCUCACUUGUCGUGCUGUGGUCCAAAUAUUUUGGCCAUUUAGAUGCAACCUUC